rnacentral:rRNA from 1 species
GGGAUGACGGCCUUCGGGUUGUGAACCUCUUUCGCCAGUGAAGCAGGCCUGCUCCUUGUGGGUGGGUUGACGGUAGCUGGAUAAGAAGCGCCGGCUAACUACGUGCCAGCAGCCGCGGUAAUACGUAGGGCGCGAGCGUUGUCCGGAAUUAUUGGGCGUAAAGAGCUCGUAGGCGGCUGGUCGCGUCUGUCGUGAAAUCCUCUGGCUUAACUGGGGGCUUGCGGUGGGUACGGGCCGGCUUGAGUGCGGUAGGGGAGACUGGAACUCCUGGUGUAGCGGUGGAAUGCGCAGAUAUCAGGAAGAACACCGGUGGCGAAGGCGGGUCUCUGGGCCGUUACUGGCGCUGAGGAGCGAAAGCGUGGGGAGUCGACGCGGCCG